CGGGGAUGGGCCUGCGUCGGAUUAGCUAGUUGGUAGGGUAACGGCCUACCAAGGCGACGAUCCGUAGCUGGUCUGAGAGGAUGAUCAGCCACACUGGCACUGAGACACGGGCCAGACUCCUACGGGAGGCAGCAGUGAGGAAUAUUGGGCAAUGGGCGCAAGCCUGACCCAGCCACGCCGCGUGGAGGAAGACACCCCUAUGGGGCGUAAACUCCUUUUGUGCGAGAAGAAAGCGCCGGUUUCCGGCGUCUGACGGUAUCGCACGAAUAAGCACCGGCUAACUCCGUGCCAGCAGCCGCGGUAAUACGGAGGGUGCAAGCGUUGUCCGGAAUCACUGGGUGUAAAGGGUGUGUAGGCGGGGCUGUAAGUCAGAGGUGAAAUCCCACGGCUCAACCGUGGAACUGCCUUUGAUACUGCAGCUCUUGAGUCCCGGAGAGGUGGCUGGAAUUCGUGGUGUAGCGGUGAAAUGCGUA
rnacentral:rRNA from 1 species